UUCCCACUGAGCUAUGUGAUCAGAAGGCAAGUCUACCAGCCCUGCCUCUGAUCAUGGCCCACCCUGCAUUUCCUCAAGUCCCGGCCCAGAAAGGAAGACAAGAUCAUACAGCAAGAAGCUUGGAUGCGAAUUGGAAUCAGGGGUUUGCUGAACAUCCACCUGACACUGAAGAUUCAGUUGAAUCCUGAUAGCCUUCCUCUGCUGAUGUUAAAUCCAGGAUGGAUCACUAUACAAGUCAUCUGCCAUAGAGCAUGUACUC